rfam:Caenorhabditis japonica strain DF5081 Contig7552.1, whole genome shotgun sequence.
CGUUGUUUGUUGACUCUGAAUACCGUCGUUUACUGUCAGUUUCGACUGACUCUAUCCGAGAAGGGGGUCUGCCCUUUCAACUAGAUGGUAAUCUAUUGGACUACCAUGGUUGUUACGGGUAACGGAGAAUUAGGGUUCGACUCCGGAGAGGGAGCCUUAGAAACGGCUACCACGUCCAAGGAAGGCAGCAGGCGCGAAACUUAUCCACUGUUGAGUAUGAGAUAGUGACUAAAAAUAUAAAGACUCAUCCUUUUGGAUGAGUUAUUUCAAUGAGUUGAAUAUAAAUUAUUCUUCGAGUAGCAAGGAGAGGGCAAGUCUGGUGCCAGCAGCCGCGGUAAUUCCAGCUCUCCUAGUGUAUCUCGUUAUUGCUGCGGUUAAAAAGCUCGUAGUUGGAUCUAGGUUACGUGCCGCAGUUCGCAAUUUGCGUUAACUGUGGUCGUGACUUCUAAUUUGCUGGUUUGAGGUUGGGUUCGCCCUUCAACUGCCAGCAGGUUUACCUUGAAUAAAUCAGAGUGCUCAAUACAGGCGCUUGCUUGAAUAGCUCAUCAUGGAAUAAUGAAACAGGACUUCGGUUCUUUUUGUUGGUUCUAGAAUUGAUCUAAUGGUUAAGAGGGACAAACCGGGGGCAUUCGUAUCAUUACGCGAGAGGUGAAAUUCGUGGACCGUAGUGAGACGCCCAAUAGCGAAAGCAUUUGCCAAGAAUGUCUUCAUUAAUCAAGAACGAAAGUCAGAGGUUCGAAGGCGAUUAGAUACCGCCCUAGUUCUGACCGUAAACGAUGCCAUCUCGCGAUUCGGAGGGUUCAUGCCCUCCCGAGGAGCUACCCGGAAACGAAAGUCUUUUCGGUUCCGGGGGGUAGUAUGGGUUGCAAAGCUGAAACUUAAAGAAAUUGACGGAAGGGGCACCACAAGGCGUGGAGCUUGCGGCUUAAUUUGACUCAACACGGGAAAACUCACCCGGUCCGGACACUAUUAGGACUGACAGAUUGAAAGCUCUUUCUCGAUUUGGUGGUUGGUGGUGCAUGGCCGUUCUUAGUUGGUGGAGUGAUUUGUCUGGUUUAUUCCGAUAACGAGCGAGACUCUAGCCUGCUAAAUAGUCGACGAAUCUUCGGGUUCGUAUAACUUCUUAGAGGGAUAAGCGGUGUUUAGCCGCACGAGAUUGAGCGAUAACAGGUCUGUGAUGCCCUUAGAUGUCCGGGGCUGCACGCGUGCUACACUGGUGGAGUCAGCGGGUUUUUCCUAUGCCGAAAGGUAUCGGUAAACCGUUGAACUUCUUCCAUGUCCGGGAUAGGGUAUUGUAAUUAUUACCCUUAAACGAGGAA